AUGUUUUGGCAGCUCUUUAUAGUCUUUCAAGGGGAUUGUGUUGACAGGCACUUGCCCUUCAACUUGCUGCUCUGUUUGGCAGCGGCUCUGUUUUCAGUCUUGCCUUCAUUGCACUUGAGGAUUUUCCACAGCCAUGUAUGGGGAUGUUCUCAUGUAAGAGGGUCAGACGGGCAAAAAUCUGGGAAGAAGGGAUUCCAAGCGACAGGGACGGGGUUUCACUGUGUUGGCCAGGAUGGUCUCGAUCUCUUGACCGUGUGAUCUGCCUGCUUCGGCCUCCCAAAGUGCUGGUAUUACAGGCGUGAGCCACUGCGCCCAGUCAAAGAUGUUCUCUUUUAAGAUUACUUUUUAAAAAGACUCACACGGUACCUUCCCACAAGAAGACAUGGAGACUAUGUGACGUAGCCUGUGGGUCCCUGGACACCGGGACUAGAGGACCCUUCCCAAGAGCAGACCGCAGGCAAGAUACCAUUCAUUGGCCUCGCUGCCUGUGCCCGCGGAUUCCGCACGUGGCCACACCUCUUCUAUACAAGGCAAGGUGGCGUGCCUACAUCCAUGCCAUCCUGUUGUUAUCCAUGGAUGAACAACUCAGAAUUUGGAGAAAUGGAUUUGGGGAAAUCUCUGAGACACAUUUUGAAACCAGCGAGGAAUUAGGCUGCAAGCGGCAGCAGCAGUAACAGUGACAGCAGCAAGAAACAGCCACCUGCAUCUCAAGAGUGGCACAGGGCUUCCACUGGCUGAGGCGGACACAUGGCGGAUGUGUAAGAAGCGUGCAGAAAGUGGUCAGUCGUGUGUGCACACACGAAUACAUGCUCAGUGUCAGGCCAAGGCCCUGUGGGCCUAAGGAAAACAAUGUCACGUUUCAACAUGAUUUGGGAAACCCUACUCUCCACUGAAAUCUCAUAUUGGCAGCAGAAAACUCUGCCGAUG
rnacentral:lncRNA from 1 species